rnacentral:misc_RNA from 1 species
GAAAUUGACAAACCCUCCUCUCGUCGCCAUUACUGCUAACACCUGUUGUUCAAAAUGGUUGAAACUCUGUUUGAAGAUAUAUUUACAGUCACUCAGAAAGAUCCUGAUGGAAAAAAAUUUGAUCGAGUGAAUCGCAUUGAAGCACGGAGUGAGCAGUUUGAUAUGUUCAUGCUACUGGAUGUAAACACUGAGAUAUAUCCUAUGCGCGUUAAGGAUAAAUUUAUGAUGGUUUUAGCUUCUACUUUGAACUUGGAUGGGACACCAGAUACUGGUUAUUUCAUUCAGGGUAACAAGAAAUCACUUGCUGACAAGUUCGAAUAUGUCAUGCAUGGUAAGCUAUAUAGGAUCUCAGAGGAAGGUUCCGGGAAGCACGUUAAAGCAGACAUUUUUGUUUCAUUUGGAGG